UACGAACUGUGCGAACGUUAUUCGGAAUCACUGGGCUUACAGGGUGCGUAGGCGGCUUAGCAAGUCAGGCGUGAAAGCCCCGGGCUCAACCUGGGAACUGCGCUUGAGACUGCGGGACUGGAGUUCGGGAGAGGAGAGCGGAAUUCCCAGUGUAGAGGUGAAAUUCGUAGAUAUUGGGAAGAACACCGGUGGCGAAGGCGGCUCUCUGGACCGACACUGACGCUGAGGCGCGAAAGCGUGGGGAGCAAACAGG
rnacentral:rRNA from 1 species